rnacentral:rRNA from 1 species
UACGUAGGGGGCAAGCGUUGUCCGGAUUUAUUGGGCGUAAAGAGCGUGUAGGCGGCCAAGCAGGUCCGUUGUGAAAACUGGAGGCUUAACCUCCAGACGUCGACGGAAACCGCGUGGCUAGAGUCCGGAAGAGGAGAGUGGAAUUCCUGGUGUAGCGGUGAAAUGCGCAGAUAUCAGGAAGAACACCAAUGGCGAAGGCAGCUCUCUGGGACGGUACUGACGCUGAGACGCGAAAGCGUGGGGAGCGGACAGG